GGUUAGAUAUAUUGUACAUUGUUAAAACUAUUUAAAUCUUUUUUUAAAGUGGAGGUGGUGGUUGCUUGGUUUUUAUAGCUGAGAGUUGUUGGUCGACAAUUACAAAUGGUGGAAUCCAUAAAAGUCGAGCAUUACUUAAUCGUGAUGACAUAAGUAGUUACGUUCAGUGUUUUAAAUCGUCGUUUUCUUAUUGCAACGAACAAAUCUCCUCAUGAUGGAAGAAUGUGAAUAAUGUUUGGUCCAAAGUGAAUUUGGCCUAGUUGUUUGACCCUGGACUACGAGAGUAGGCUUCUAAGCCGUCCAUAAAACA
rnacentral:lncRNA from 1 species